rnacentral:snoRNA from 1 species
AGCACUAUAUUUUGACCAGUGGAUGGGAAUUUUCCCCAUUCUUGGUUACGCUGUAUGUGCUAAAGAAUUCCUUGGCUCUUUGUCUUGCACAGCUGACUCUAUGCCAUUGUGCUGUUGCUGUAUGGAGUUAAGGAGCAUAG